rnacentral:hammerhead_ribozyme from 1 species
AUUCAGCUGACGAGUUCCAAAAUGGGCGAAACGCAAGUCUUAAAU